GAUUUUUUUUAAUGAAAAAAUCAUUCUUUCUACAAAAUAAAACGAAACCAGCUGUUCUUCGAACAAUGAGGUUUCAUUCUAAAUCUUUUUUCCUGCUAUGUCAUCAUUAUUAGCAUUAAAAUUGAUAAAUAUCUAUUUAUUUGACACAUUUCACUUUUAAACCAUUCUUCAAUCUUCUGCAUAAAAAUAAAAAGUUCUUUUUCUUUACAUAAUUUUUAUCUAUAUAUAACGUGUUUGAUAUUUUGGAAGUUUAUAAUUUAGUCACAUUUGAAGGAAAUAAUAAGAAACAAAAAUGAAGCUUCUUCUAUUCGUUGCGUUUGCUUACGUUUUAGCUGUUGUGAAUGCCGAAAGUUGUAGUGAACACCGUGCAGAAGCAGAGAAACAAAUUGAAAAGGGUCUUCAAGACGUUCCUGUUCCUUCGUGUAACGAAGAUGGCACGUACGCUCCUCAGCAAUAUGGAAGCUUUGGAGAAUGCUAUUGUGUAGAUCCCAAUGGAAAUAGAGUGGGCAAAGAGUGCCCUUGCAGUUAAAUUAUUUGAUUGAUGUAUAAUGUACUGUGAUAUUUUAUAACCAGACAAAAAAUAAAUAUUGAAAUUCCAUUCUGAAUAUGCUUUGUUUCUGUUGGAUAGACACGUACAUUUUGUUUUGUGUCAACAUUUUAUCUUAGCCCUAAUGUAUUUUUGAAUAUUUACAAACAGAAAUUUUCUCUACGUAAUAAACAAAAAUUCUAUUAAA